GAAAAGAAACUAACUAGGAUUCCCUUAGUAACGGCGAGUGAACCGGGAUGAGCUCAAAUUUAAAAUCUGGCGUCUUUCAGGCGUCCGAGUUGUAAUCUAUAGAGGCGUUUUCCGCGCCGGACCGCGUCCAAGUCUCUUGGAAUAGAGUAUCAAAGAGGGUGACAAUCCCGUACUUGACGCGACAACCGGUGCUCUGUGAUACGUUCUCAAUGAGUCGAGUUGUUUGGGAAUGCAGCUCUAAAUGGGUGGUAAAUUCCAUCUAAGGCUAAAUAUUGGCGAGAGACCGAUAGCGAACAAGUACCGUGAGGGAAAGAUGAAAAGCACUUUGGAAAGAGAGUUAAACAGCACGUGAAAUUGUUAAAAGGGAAACGAUUGAAGUCAGUCGUGUGAAAGGUAUUCAGCCGUCUCUGGCGGUGUAUUUGCCUUUCACGGGUCAACAUCAGUUUGAUCCGGUAGAAAAAGGCGGGAGGAAGGUGGCACCCUCGGGUGUGUUAUAGCCUCCUGUCAUAUGUGCCGGACCAGACUGAGGAACGCAGCUUGCCGCAAGGCCGGGGUUCGCCCACGUACAA
rnacentral:rRNA from 1 species